rnacentral:lncRNA from 1 species
UCCUUGGGGACCCAGAGAAAUGUCAGCUGUGGAUUGGACAGAUUCUGAUGUCUUCCAUGCCACACCUUGACCAGUCUUCAGCACUGAGCACAGGACGGUUACCAACAUUCAGGAAAAAAAUAAUUUCCUAUUUACGAUGUGGGGAGGACUUGCCAUUCACAGCAUCAUCUGUUCCACUACACGGACGGAGUUCUUUCUUUGCAACUGGCAAAAAUUAGAAAUGAAGCACAUCGUUCACAGUGGAUGGAAGAAGCAAAGCCUCAGCUCUCUCCUGGCAGGGUUGGGAGAGAGAGACAGUUAGCAAUGCUCUCGGGUCCCCGGUCCCUGGGGCCUGCCGAGCCCACAUGGAGAUGCUGGGCCAAGAGGUGUUGAAACACUGACACUUUUGCAUGAAGUCUGGGUAUUCUGUCUUUGAAAGGGGAUCUGGGGCUACCAACAGGAAGGGGUCAAAAUGUAAUACAUAAGCAUGCCUUUUUUUUUUUUUUUUUUAAAUUUCACCUGAGGUUUCCUGACUUAUUCCUGGGACUGAGUGAUGGCCCCUUGAGGUUCCUGAUGCUUGUCCAGCCGUGUGCAGUCACACAUUGCUAUUCCUGUAGCAUCUCAGUUUGCUGUGUCUUUGCAUAACUGACUCUCUCUCUGUAUUCUGGGUGCUAGCCAUGUCUGGGCAGAGUACUGACUCUCAUUAACUCUACUAAGCAGAGCUACUUGGUCUGUGGGGUAAGUAACAGUUCUGCACUGUGUGCCCAGAA